UACAGAGGUCUCAAGCGUUGUUCGGAUUCAUUGGGCGUAAAGGGUGCGUAGGUGGCGCCGUAAGUCGGGUGUGAAAUUUCGGGAGCUUAACUCCGAAACUGCAUUCGAUAACUGCGGUGCUUGAGGACUGGAGAGGAGACGUGGAAUUCGAUGGUGUAGCAGUGAAAUGCGUAGAGAUCAAUGAGGAAGACCAGUGGCGAAGG
rnacentral:rRNA from 1 species